GGGGGGGGGGGGGGGGGGGGGGGGGGGGGGGGGGUCGGGGGGGGGCGCGGGAGGGGGUGGGGCUGACGGGGGGCGGGGGGCGGACGGGUGAGGAAGACAUCGGAAUCUACUUUUUCGUGGGGGGUAACGUAGGGAAACUUACGCUAAUACCGCAUACGACCUACGGGUGAAAGCAGGGGAUCUUCGGACCUUGCGCGAUUGAAUGAGCCGAUGUCGGAUUAGCUAGUUGGCGGGGUAAAGGCCCACCAAGGCGACGAUCCGUAGCUGGUCUGAGAGGAUGAUCAGCCACACUGGAACUGAGACACGGUCCAGACUCCUACGGGAGGCAGCAGUGGGGAAUAUUGGACAAUGGGCGCAAGCCUGAUCCAGCCAUACCGCGUGGGUGAAGAAGGCCUUCGGGUUGUAAAGCCCUUUUGUUGGGAAAGAAAAGCAGCAGGUUAAUACCCCGCUGUUCUGACGGUACCCAAAGAAUAAGCACCGGCUAACUUCGUG
rnacentral:rRNA from 1 species